UAUCCCCCGUCGUUGUGCCUUGGGCUACACACACGCUACAAUGGGCGGUACAAUGGGUUACAAUGGGGUGACUCGGAGUUAAUCCUAAAAAUCGCCCUCAGUUCAGAUUGCAGGCUGAAACCCGCCUGCAUGAAGUCGGAGUUGCUAGUAACCGCGUAUCAGCAUGGCGCGGUGAAUACGUUCUCGGGCCUU
rnacentral:rRNA from 1 species